rnacentral:rRNA from 1 species
UACGUAGGGAGCAAGCGUUGUUCGGCUUUACUGGGCGUAAAGGGCGCGUAGGCGGCAAUUCAAGUCACUUGUGAAAUCUCCGGGCUUAACUCGGAACGGUCAAGUGAUACUGCUUUGCUAGAGUGCGGAAGGGGCAAUCGGAAUUCUCGGUGUAGCGGUGAAAUGCGUAGAUAUCGAGAGGAACACCUGAGGUGAAGACGGGUUGCUAGGCCGACACUGACGCUGACAGCGCGAAAGCCAGGGGAGCAAACGGG